UACAGAGGGUGCGAGCGUUAAUCGGAAUUACUGGGCGUAAAGCGUGCGCAGGCGGUUUUGUAAGUCUGUCGUGAAAGCCCCGGGCUCAACCUGGGAAUUGCGAUGAAGACUGCAAGGCUUGAAUCUGGCAGAGGGGGGUAGAAUUCCACGUGUAGCAGUGAAAUGCGUAGAGAUGUGGAGGAACACCGAUGGCGAAGGCAGCCCCCUGGGUCAAGACUGACGCUCAUGCACGAAAGCGUGGGGAGCAAACAGG
rnacentral:rRNA from 1 species